GGCUCAGAGUGGUACCAGGGCCUAUCUCAGGCCCAGGGAAGUUGACAGCCACUGAAGCCGGCUUGGGGGCUGGGGGCGUGGUAAAAUAAACACAAGUAAUUAGCUUUUGCUGAGAGUGCCGUUCUUCUCUUGUUCUGGAGGUGUGAGUAGUCUGUGCAACUUGCUGUCCUUCCCUGAGCUAAACGCCUCUGGAACACUACUGCCAGCCCCGCUGCAGUCGCUCCAGGGAACGGUGCCUGAGGGUUCCUGGCUGUUCAGGUCCAGUAACUCCUCUCCACUUCUGAAUAGUCUCUCCCUCCCCCUGCCGCUGAGUCCAUUUUCUAACUUUACCUUUGAUGUUCAGGGCUCCUAGCUUGUCAUAAAUAUAAUCGCUUCACUUGUUUUUUCUGGUCUUUUUUGUAAGAGGGAUCACUGGUGGCGUCUCAAUACUCAAAACUUCAUCAUUUCUUCCUUUCACUUUAGCUACUCGACAUUCAAGAGCAACGUUCAGAGUCUCUUCCGACAUCCGUUUUGGUCUUUUCUUUCUUUCCUGUCUUUUAAAGGAUCUCUUGCUUUCCUCAUGUGUGAUGUCCUUGAUGUCAUUCCACAACUCGUCUGGUCUUCAGUCGUUAGUGUUCAACACGUAAAAUGUGUUCUUGAGGUGGUCUCUAAAUACAGGUGAGAUAUACUCAAGGUCAUAUUUUGGCCCCUUUUGACUUAUUCUAAUUUUCUUCCGUUUCAACUUGAACUCCCAUAUGAGCAAUUGACAGUCUGUUUCACAAUCGAUCCCUGGCCUUGUUCUGACUGAUGAUAUGAGUUUUCCCAUCUUCUCUUUCCACAGAUGUAGUCAGUUUGAUUCCUGUGUAUUCCAUCUGGUAAAGUCCACGUGUAUAGCUGCCGUUUAUGUUGGUGAAAAAAAAUAUUUGCAGUGGAUGAGUCACUGGUCUUGCAAAAUUCUUUCAUGAGAUUUCUGGCGUCAUUUAUUUCAGUGAUGCUGUAUUUUCCAACUACUUUUCCUUCUUUGUUUCCAACUUUAACAUUCUAAUGACCAGUAAUUAUCAAUGCAUCUUGAUUGCAUCUUUGAUCAAUUUCAGGCUGCAGAAGUUGUUUAAAAUCUUCAAUUUCUUUAUCUUUGGCAUUAGUGGUUGGUGCAUAAAUUUGAAUAGUCAUAUAAACUAGUCUUCCUUGUAAGUGUAUGGAUUUUAGCCUAUCAGUGACAACAUUGUACUUCAGGCUAGAUCUUGAAAUGUUCUCUUUGAUGAUAUGUAACGUCAUUCUUUUGACUCUGGUGGAAUAUCCAUGUUUGUAAGACUGCUCACAGACUGUUUUACCAGAGAGUUUUCUGGUACUGCAACAUCUACCACUAAUCUCUGUGAUCCCUUUGAAUUGGCAAAAUAAGAAUAGUGCUAUAGAUUUCUUCCAAAUACAGAAAACAUAAGUAUGAAAAUGUUCUUGCUGUUGAUUAUAUUCUUUACCAAUCUGUUUGUAUGGGAUUUUUGGUACUUCACUUGAAAAAUGAGUCCAAGGUACUGUGAUGUGAUUGUUUACUUUGUGUGGCCUUUCUAGCCAUGGUCUUAUAACAUCCACCCUGGUGCUUGGGCAGGACUGUGUGAUAGGGUAAUUGUGGCUCACCAAGAGGAUUGUUUAUUUUGCCUUCAAAGAGAACCAGUUCCAGAGCAAAGAGGAGGAUUCAACUCCCAUCAAGGAAGAACAGCCAAGAGCCGAGCGUAUAUUAUGGACCUGAGAUCCCUGCACUGAGAAGCUCCUAGAAGCAGGAGACUGAGAUAGAGAGAGGAAGCUGUAACCCUGAAGAUGCUUAAAUACAGACCAGAAGAGGAGUUUGGGGCUUGACACCUGACAUCUUAACACCAGUUCCUGUUUCUUGAGGAAGGAAGAGGUAAAAUAAAUCAGCGUUUGCUGUUUCCUUCUCCAUCCCCGGAAGUCCUGAUGAAGACCCUCUCAGGUAAGGAUUGACAGGGAGUGGCUUGGUUUACUAUUCAACUUUGUCCUUCAGUAACUUUGUUUAUGUCCUGCAUGUAAACUGUUGUGCAUUGAGAAGCAUUCUAAUUCUUGUGCAGAAGGACUAGACCUCCUGCAGAAUGACUAUAUUGUGCCUCCCUCGGGCACCCCUGUCUGCGCAGCACCCCCCAACGCCAACUGCCCAACCGCCUCUCUCCUGGCAUUCUGCUUCUAGAAGCAUGUUCUUUUGAUGCAGAGAUGCAGCACACACAGAAUCCCAGCUGGAUUACAGACUUGAACCUGAAGACCUUAUGCAGAAUGACAAUUUAUGAACCACUAAGCUCAGUACUAAAGCAGCUUCAACUUGAACGUGAAUAUGAGCAACUGAUCAUCUGUUCUGCAGUCAGCCCCUGCCCUGAUUCUGACUCAUGAUAUUGACCAAGUGAAGAGUGAUUCAGAGAAAAACAUGGAUAGAGUGUGACCUAAUUUCCAUAAAAACAAACAAAUGAAUGUACUUACAUGUGUCCCGGCAAAAAGAAGUGUGUAAAAGGGUACAUAUGUAUCUUUGGACACUGGACACUUCAGGGGAGCAGGUAUAAUAUACUUAUGUGGGGAUGGCUCUUAUUAUAACUUCUAUAUACAAAUCUCUAUUGUUAAAUGUGUUAUAAGAAUGUAAAAGCUUUUAAAGUUUAAUAACAUCAUACGUGUAUGUGUGUGUAUUUGAAACUUUUUUUCUUUUGACUAUUUUAUAUAUGUGUUUUUUAGUUAUCUAGUUUUUUUUUUAGUGUGGCUAUAGCAGAGAUACCAAAAGUGGAUGGCUUUAACAAACAGAAACUUAUUCUCUCACAGUUUAAGAAGCAACAAGUUUGAAGUCAGGGCACCAGGUCUAGGAGAAAGCUCUCUCUCUUUGUGGCUCUGGGGGAAGGUCCUUGUCAUCUAUCUUCCCCUGGCCUAGGAAAUUCUCAGCGCGUGGACACUGGGUCAAAAAGACGUGCUCCACUCCAGGCACUUCUUCCUUGGUGGUAUGAGGUCCCUCUCAUUUCCGCUCACUCUUCUCUUUGUAUCUCAAAAGAGACUGACUCAAGACUCACCCUAAUCCUGUAGAUUGUGUCCUCCCUCAUUAACCUAACUGCCUCUAAUCCCGCCUUAUUUACAUCACAGAGGUUAGAAUUUACAACACAUAAGUAAUCACAUCAGAUCACAAAAUGCAGGACAACCACACAAUACUGGGAAUCAUGGUCUGGCCAGGUUGGCACACAUUUUGGGGGAC